rnacentral:misc_RNA from 1 species
GAUGAAGAACGUAGCGAAAUGCGAUAAGUAGUGUGAAUUGCAGAAUUCAGUGAAUCAUCGAAUCUUUGAACGCACAUUGCGCCCCUUGGUAUUCCAUGGGGCAUGUCUGUUCGAGCGUCAUUUGUACCUUCAAGCUUUGCUUGGUGUUGGGUGUUUGUCCCGAGGGACUCGCCUUAAAGUAAUUGGCAGCCAGUGUUUGGUUUUGAAGCGCAGCACAAGUCGCGAUUCAAGGCUACACGCCCGCUUCCACAAGCCUUUUUUCACUUUUGACCUCGGAUCAGGUAGGGAUACCCGCUGAACUUAAGCAUAUCAAUAAGCGGAGGA